GUCCGCGUGGCCUAAUGGAUAAGGCGUCUGACUUCGAAUCAAAAGAUUGCAGGUUCCAAUCCUGUCGCGGGCG
rnacentral:tRNA from 1 species